ensembl:snoRNA
UUGCACAGUGAAUACCCAAGUGUGCUUUAUAGUUUCCUUGGCUUUGACCCUGUGCUUGAGCAUUACCUGUUCUCCUCUGCAUUGAAAGGAAUAUUUAUCCUUUUAAAUGUAUUCCGAAAGCCGGCACAUUA